CAGGAUCACUGGUGGGUGCACAGAU
rnacentral:misc_RNA from 1 species